GCGCUCUUAGUUCAGUUGGUUGAAGGGGGUUUCCCCAAAACCCCGAGUCGUAGGUUCAAAUCUACAGAGCGUG